CCUACGGGGGGCAGCAGUGAGGAAUAUUGGUCAAUGGGCGGAAGCCUGAACCAGCAAAGUCGCGUGAGGGAAUAAGGCUCUACGGGUCGUAAACCUCUUUUGCCGGGGAGCAAGGGCGGGGACGUGUCCCGGCCCGGAGAGGACCCGGAGAAAAAGCAUCGGCGAACUCCGGGCCAGCAGCCGCGGUAAUACGGAGGAUCCGAGGGUUAUACGGAUUUAUUGGGUUUAAAGGGAGCGUAGGUGGGUUGUUAAGUCAGUUGUGAAAGUUUGCGGCUCAACCGUAAAAUUGCAAUUGAUAGUGGCAGGCUUGAGUGCAGUAGAGGUAGGCGGAAUUCGUGGUGUAGCGGUGAAAUGCUUAGAUAUCACGAAGAACUCCGAUUGCGAAGGCAGCCUACUAAACUGCCACUGACAUUGAUGCUCGAAAGUGUGGGUAUCAAACAGGAUUAGAUACCCUUGUAGUC
rnacentral:rRNA from 1 species